AUCACCACCACCAUCAUCAUCUCCACCAUCAAUCAUCAUCAUCAUCAUCAUCUCCAUCAUCAUCACCACCACCACCACCACCACCCCCAUCAUCAAACGCUGGAGGCUCUCCGAAUGGGUCACAUUAUGAGGGAGCACACGUGACUUUACCCUGAAAAGUCCCUCUACUCAUCCUCUGACUGGAAGAAGGUCCUCACUUUCUCUUUAAGCUCCAGCUGGGCCCCUGACUUUGAUCUCGUCCCUCCUUUUCCUGGUCACCCCUCCGGCCCAGUCUGCGUCUUAACUCCAGUCCCUGACAGUGAGGCACAGGAAUUAUCUUUGCGAAACCAAACCAGCCCAACGAGGUGUCUGGCUUAACAAAAAGCCAGUUCUCUCCCAAGCGGAAUUCUACUGUCAAAUCUUACAGCUGAAACACAAACAAUUCUUUUCCUCCUACUUCACAAAGUUAGAAUAUCUAAAAGCACUUACCCCUUUUGUUUUGGUUGCUUGUGCUGGCGUGGACAGAUGUUAUAUGUCAGUUAUGAUAAUGACCCACCGACACCAGUGGAUUCUGCUUGCUGAUAUUCUGUUUAGGAUUGACAGCCGUCUCCCUGAUACGCUUGGCUACAGUGUUUUUCUGGUUCUAUCACAGCAAUGAGCACAUCGAGAAGCACCCCCUUCUCCGAGUUCUGGGACAAUCUUCACAAUUUCCGUGUCGUCUGCUCUCUGAUGGCUUGAGCCCUGCAGGCUGCCUGGGCCUGGCUCCUCUGAGGAAUCAUCAUCCGAGGCUUAUUUCAGGAUUUCUAUGUCUUCUUGAGGUCUGACAGCUCUGAGUUGCGCGACGGACUUCACUCCUUCUGAUGGGAAAUGAGGGAAUUUACAGCCGUGAGAUUUCCCCUGAGAACAGCGUUCGCUUCAGCUCAGUCAUCCCGGCAGCAGCCUUGCUUGCUGGUCUCGCAAAGGGGUGGAGGGGGAGGCCUCGCUGUCCGUCUCUCUCAUUUCUCCUGCGUUGCAGCUUGUCCAGAAAACGCAGCUACUCUCCUUCUGCCAUUACGACACGCUGAUGUCGCCUCUAUGGUGGAACGCGGCCUUCACGCCAGCAAGCAAUCAACAUCUACAGUUAUUCCAUAAACACUUGGAAAUAACAUACAUUCACCAACGUGACAUGUUACGUAUGUGGAGAAAUAUAAGUACAUAGAGCACAUGACCUCAUAGCAUCUCAUUGGCUCAGUUGGAGUCACAUGCCCAUCUCUCAACCAAUCGGAGUGUCUGGGGAAAAUACACUGCACUGAUUGGCUUAAGCCUGGGUCCCUUAAGCUCCUGAAUCAGGCCGGGCGUCCUGUCCCAGAACCACAGGAGUCACGGCCUCGUAUGACACUCGACGCUGCCAACAUCGUCCACACCCCACUCCUGGGGCGCAGGAUGCUCCUUCUGAAAUACCUGUUUCAAGCAGCCUUUAAGAGUAGAAGACAUUGCCCUGGCCGGUUUGCUCAGUGGAUAGGGCGCCAGCCUGCAGACUGAAGGGUCCAAGGUUCAAUUCCCGCCAAGGGCACAGGCCUGGGUUGAGG